rnacentral:tRNA from 1 species
GAGGGUAUAGCUCAGGAGGUAGAGCGCAUGCCUAGCACACACAAGGUCCUGGGUUCAAUCCCCAGUACUUCCU